GCGCGAAAACUUUACAAUGCGGGAAACCGUGAUAAGGGAACUCCGAGUGCCCGUAAAAUCGGGCUGUCCACCAGUUUAAAUAACUGGUGAAGAAAGGGCCGGGCAAGACCGGUGCCAGCCGCCGCGGUAAUACCGGCGGCUCGAGUGGUGGCCACUAUUACUGGGCUUAAAGCGUUCGUAGCUGGUCUGUUAAGUCUCUGGGGAAAUCUACUGGCUUAACCAAUAGACGUUUCAGGGAUACUGGCAGACUAGGGACCGGGAGAGGUGAGAGGUACUCCAGGGGUAGGAGUGAAAUCCUGUAAUCCUUGGGGGGCCACCUGUGGCGAAGGCGUCUCACCAGAACGGCUCCGACAGUGAGGGACGAAAGCUGGGGGAGCAAACCGGAUUAGAUACCCGGGUAGUCCCAGCCGUAAACGAUGCGCGUUAGGUGUAUCGGUGACCACGAGUCACCGAGGUGCCGAAGAGAAACUCGUAGAACGUCGCCGCCGUAGGGAACGUACGGUCGACGAAGGCUAGUAAAACGUUAAAGGAAGUUGGGGACGGGGGA
rnacentral:rRNA from 1 species